UACGGGGGGGGCAAGCGUUGUUCGGAAUUACUGGGCGUAAAGGGCUUGUAGGCGGCCAACUAAGUCAUACGUGAAAUCCCUCGGCUUAACCGGGGAACUGCGUCUGAUACUGGAUGGCUUGAGAUUGGGAGAGGGAUGCGGAAUUCCCGGUGUAGUGGUGAAAUGCGUAGAUAUCGGGAGGAACACCAGUGGCGAAGGCGGCCUUCUGGGCUUGUCCUGACGCUGAGGCGCGAAAGCGUGGGGAGCAAACAGG
rnacentral:rRNA from 1 species